rnacentral:misc_RNA from 1 species
GAUGAAGAACGCAGUGAAAUGCGAUAAGUAGUGUGAAUUGCAGAAUUCAGUGAAUCAUCGAAUCUUUGAACGCACAUUGCGCCCUUUGGUAUUCCUUAGGGCAUGCCUGUUCGAGCGUCAUCUAAACCUUCAAGCUAAGCUUGGUGUUGGGUGACUGUCCGCUUCACGGCGGACUCGCCUCAAAAUUAUUGGCGGCCGGUACAUUGGCUUCGAGCGCAGCAGAAACGCGAACUCGGGCCCGUCGUAUUGGCUCCCAGAAGCUAUCUUCACAAUUUUGACCUCGGAUCAGGUAGGGAUACCCGCUGAACUUAAGCAUAUCAAUAAGCGGAGGA